AGAGUUUGAUCAUGGCUCAGGAUGAACGCUAGCUACAGGCUUAACACAUGCAAGUCGAGGGGCAGCAUGUUGGUUGCUUGCAACCAACGAUGGCGACCGGCGCACGGGUGAGUAACGCGUAUCCGACCUACCCUUGUCCAUCGGAUAACCCGUCGAAAGGCGGCCUAACACGAUAUGCGGUUCACAGCAGGCAUCUAACGUGAACAAAAUGUAAAGGAGAAGGAUGGGGAUGCGUCUGAUUAGCUUGUUGGCGGGGUAACGCCACAAGGCUACGAUCAGUAGGGGUUCUGAGAGGAAGGUCCCCCACAUUGGAACUGAGACACGGUCCAAACUCCUACGGGAGGCA
rnacentral:rRNA from 1 species